rnacentral:rRNA from 1 species
GAUGAACGCUGGCGGCGUGCUUAACACAUGCAAGUCGAACGGAAAGGCCCAAGCUUGCUUGGGUACUCGAGUGGCGAACGGGUGAGUAACACGUGGGUGAUCUGCCCUGCACUUCGGGAUAAGCCUGGGAAACUGGGUCUAAUACCGGAUAGGACGAUGGUUUGGAUGCCAUUGUGGAAAGUUUUUUCGGUGUGGGAUGAGCUCGCGGCCUAUCAGCUUGUUGGUGGGGUAAUGGCCUACCAAGGCGUCGACGGGUAGCCGGCCUGGGAGGGGGUACGGCCACAUUGGGACUGAGAUACGGCCCAGACUCCUACGGGAGGCAGCAGUGGGGAAUAUUGCACAAUGGGCGCAAGCCUGAUGCAGCGACGCCGCGUGGGGGAUGACGGCCUUCGGGUUGUAAACUCCUUUCGCUAGGGACGAAGCGUUUUUGUGACGGUACCUGGAGAAGAAGCACCGGCUAACUACGUG